rnacentral:rRNA from 1 species
GAUAUGUGAAUACAUAGCAUAUCAGAAGGCACACCCGGAGAACUGAAACAUCUUAGUACCCGGAGGAAGAGAAAGAAAAUUCGAUUCCCUUAGUAGCGGCGAGCGAAACGGGAAGAGCCCAAACCAACAAGCUUGCUUGUUGGGGUUGUAGGACACUCUAUACGGAGUUACAAAGGACGACAUUAGACGAAUCAUCUGGAAAGAUGAAUCAAAGAAGGUAAUAAUCCUGUAGUCGAAAAUGUUGUCUCUCUUGAGUGGAUCCUGAGUACGACGGAG